rnacentral:lncRNA from 1 species
CAUUCUCUCUCUCGUCUCUCUCUCUCGUCUCUCUCUCGAGUCUCGACUCUCGAGUUCUCUCUCUCUCAAUUCAAUUCACAGACUGUAAAUCAGUAAUUGCGCUGCUUCCCAAAAUCCGUCGAUUCCAAUAUUCUAAGUUCUUAGCCGUCUGUGAUUAUGAUUCCAGUCCAGAUGCUUUGAACUUGGGGGGGUCGAUUGAUCGAUUCGAGUUCUACUUCUAGUCUUCAACUUCAGUAGUUCAGUUCUUUAAAAUGGUCGACGAAGAACAGGCUGCAUGUGGAUUCAAAGAAAGCUUCCAGAGUCAGAGUAAAGUUCCUGCAUCUUCUUGGUAAGUAUCGAUCAUCCUUGGUAGGAUUUCUGUUUAAUCUUCUCAUUCUUCGUCCUCCUCUUUUCGUCUAGGGGUGAUUUGUAAUAAAUCAGUCGCAAUCAACCAUCAAUUCAUAAUUUCUUCGUCUAGGGUUUCUAUUUCUGACAACUGAGUCUCUGAUUUCGUACAUGCAGCUUCAUCGUUGUGUUCCAGAAGAUCAUCAUCGACACUGUUUCUGGACGAGGUGAACUAACUUAUGUGUCUUUUUGUAUUGUUUCCUGAAUGUCAAUGACUCUGUUUGUAUUGUUUGCUGAUUGUUACUUGUUAGUUGUUAUUGUAGAAUGGAAGGGGAAGCUGUGCCUGUGGCUGUUGUACCAGAAGCAGGUGUUCCCGUUGAGGUUGUACCCCAACAAGAAGUCGAAGCUACUGACAAUGGAGUUGUUGCUUGUAAUGGACCUGUUCCUGGACCUGAUGGUCAGUUGGUUCCUGGUAGGCAAACAAGUGAUGUGUGGGUUGAUUUCACCAAAGUAUGGUACAAAGGAGAGGUGAAAGCUCAGUGCAAACAUUGCAAGAAGCAUCUGGCUGGUCAUUCCAACAACGGUACAUCACACCUUAAGAAUCAUUCGUCC